UACGAAGGGUGCAAGCGUUACUCGGAAUUACUGGGCGUAAAGCGUGCGUAGGUGGUUCGUUAAGUCUGUCGUGAAAGCCCCGGGCUCAACCUGGGAAUGGCGAUGGAUACUGGCGGGCUAGAGUGCGGUAGAGGAGAGUGGAAUUCCCGGUGUAGCAGUGAAAUGCGUAGAGAUCGGGAGGAACAUCAGUUGCGAAGGCGGCUCUCUGGACCAGCACUGACACUGAGGCACGAAAGCCAGGGGAGCGAACGGG
rnacentral:rRNA from 1 species